rnacentral:rRNA from 1 species
UCUACGGGAGGCAGCAGUGAGGAAUAUUGGUCAAUGGCCGAGAGGCUGAACCAGCCAAGUCGCGUGAGGGAAGACGGCCCUACGGGUUGUCAACCUCUUUUGUCGGGGAGCAAAGAGAGUCACGUGUGACUCAUUGAGAGUACCCGAAGAAAAAGCAUCGGCUAACUCCGUGCCAGCAGCCGCGGUAAUACGAAGGAGGCAAGCGUUAUCCGGAAUGACUGGGGGUAAAGGGUGCGUAGGUGGAUUGACAAGUUGGUCGCGUAACUGCGGGGCUUAACCGCGGCACUACUACCAAAACUGUUGAACUAGAGUGCAGGUGGGGCAAAUGGAAUGCCUAGGGUAGCGGUGGCAUGCGUAGAUAUCAGAAAGAACACCAGUGGCGAAGGCGAUUUGCUGGACUAUAACUGACACUGAGGCACGAAAGCGUGGGGAGCAAACAGGAUUAGAUACCCCAGUAGUC